ensembl:lncRNA
GUGUGUGUGUGUGUGUGCGUGCGUUCCUCGGGGCCCGAGCCGUGCCGGUUCCAAUUCCAGUUCCACACACACGUUCUUAUAAUUCCCUACUCUGUCGCUCCAAAUGUACUGGUGCCUUUAUCAUCAGCUAAAACAAAUGGCUUUGCACCUCCACAACAGGGAAAACACACACACACACACGCGCAGUGCAGAUCAGUCUUCCGACACACCUCGUGUUGCUCGUGUGUGACGCAGCAAAAAGUCCAAAACAAUCUCACUCGAAUCCCUCUAAAGUCGGGCCUCACAAGGACAGAACUACUACAGCGCGCACACACACACACGUCCGCACACAGGCUGGUGGGAAUCAUUUCUGUGUACAAUUUUUCCUCAUUCGCCGCCUUUUGAGCCGGCUGUUUGAUUGGUUGCCGCGGUGAUAGAUGCCUGGCCGGUUUUUCUGAUUACAACAAUCUUCGAUCUCCAGGGCCCAACAUAAUCAGAAUAAAUGUCCCCCACUGCAGCGGGAAUAAAGGUGUGUGAAAGGGAGAAGGAGGCACGGGCGGAGGAGAAGGUGCGGGCGUGUGCUCUGAAAGGGUGGUUGACAGCAGGUGGCAGAGAUGCUCGCGCCCGGCAUGUGAAACCGAGACAUUUGGAAGCGACACAAGCGAGAAAAGCCGCCCGUGAGGACUAGAGUAUCAGAGAGUAGGAAAACCAUAAUGUAAUAUUGAUUCAUCCAUUGAUUCCCCCGCUCAACAACCCAGCCGAGAAAGAAUAAGUCUCUUUCCCUUCCCCCCCAGACGACAAAUGAACAGCAACUUUCUCCAUCGGGCCAACGCGGCGUUGAUCGCCAGCCGUCAACAAUCUAAGACAUUCUUCCACCUGUCGCAGCACGAGGGUUCUGCAACUUCGGCCUUACGUAAUUUCUUUUCCAGGGCAUUUUAUUUAUUUAGUUGGUUUGUUUGCAAAGAGUAGAGUGUGUGUGUAGCAUUUACGUACUGCAGUGAAAAGAGGUGAGAGGGACGGAGGGGAGGCAGCGCGGCGGGUUGAUCCAUGUCAUUUGUGUCAUAGCAAGCGCACAAUUAGAGAAGAGGGUGCUCACGAGGAGGCGUCAGGCUGCAGAGGAGGAGAGAUGGGAAGGGAGCGCUUGCUUCUGUGUGUGUGUGACAGUGACUGUAAUUGCUCUUCACCUCUACUUCCAAAGCUUUUAGCUCGGUCAGCACGCAGCCAAUCAGAAGGCCCGCUCAAAGGCGCCAGUCAGAGAGCAGAGAGGAGGCAGCCGAGGACUGUCUCCCAACUAACUGGAUUACCUUCACCCUCGCUCUGCGCUAAACGCUGGGCUGCGAAACCCAAAUAAGCGAAAUGAAGUGGCAGAAACGGCCACUUCCUGAGGUUCUGUUUCACCGUCCCGAGACGCUGAUUGGAUUCAUGGCCGAUUUGCUUCUUCUCUCGUUUUUUUUGUUGUUGUUGUUGUUGGUACUCCUCUCCCCUCCUCGUCCUCCGCCUCUUUUUCGCAGAACUCAUUUCGUUUCCAUUGAUAAGUGUGUUUCUCAAUUUGGGGAAUAAAGAAUAAGUGUCUGCUAUCUGGACGCAGCUGCAAAUGAGUCAGCUACAGAGCUGGAAUAAAUGUGUUUGCAAUUACAGAGGAGAAGGAGAGAAAAAAAGCUUCAGCUGUCAGCGAGAUGUGCGCGCGCCUCAUUUCCCUCUUUGUUGUUCCCACAAACUCAGAAACGUUUCGCUCUGUAUCACUGUCA